UGCGCGCCUCCUGUUUCAAUUGCCUUUCCUCCACCGAGCGCAGCAGUUUCCCAUCACAUCAGCAUGAAGAAGCUAAGCAUCGUUUUCGUCGCAGUCCUGCUGCUGGCUCUCAAUCUCACCUCCCAGGCGGCCGAGGCACAAGGUAAAAGCGGAACCGGAGGCACCAACACCCAGAACUCGACUACAGCCGCACCGACGAGCGCCAGCGGGAGUCCCGCCGCCUUCACGCUGCUCGUCGCUCCGCUGCUUCUGUCCACGGUUCUCCUGCACGGCUGGUCCGGAUGAUCUGAUCCGCGCUGGACAUUCGGAAGCCGGCAGGGGACACAACGUUAGUGUUUAAUAAAAGGCAGAAAAAGGAAAUCACAUAAAGUAGGGAGCUUAACUAUUUACUGUUGAGCGGGCGAAACGAGCGCGACGCGGCCCGGGGCGCGACGGGGCCCGGGGCGCGCCCUGCUCCUUUCCGCAUCCUGCUCUUCAUCAACUCUGAAACGCAACCAAUCCUCCCGCCAGUAACGGAACAUGCUCGCUGAUAAUUCAGAAAUAUUGAACCCUGUGGAAAACAUGUGUAUUCAUGUGUCUGACAACGACUGUAUGUAAAUGAGUUCUGUACUUUCAGAAUGAUGCAAAUCUGAUGUUUGACAUGUGAAUGCUGUGAAAUUAAACUUUAAAUUGUAAAAAAUA